AGUGAACGCUGGCGGUAGGCCUAACACAUGCAAGUCGAACGGCAGCACAGUAAGAGCUUGCUCUUACGGGUGGCGAGUGGCGGACGGGUGAGGAAUACAUCGGAAUCUACUUUUUCGUGGGGGAUAACGUAGGGAAACUUACGCUAAUACCGCAUACGACUUACGGGUGAAAGCAGGGGAUCUUCGGACCUUGCGCGAUUGAAUGAGCCGAUGUCGGAUUAGCUAGUUGGCGGGGUAAAGGCCCACCAAGGCGACGAUCCGUAGCUGGUCUGAGAGGGUGAUCAGCCACACUGGAACUGAGACACGGUCCAGACUCCUACGGGAGGCAGCAGUGGGGAAUAUUGGACAAUGGGCGCAAGCCUGAUCCAGCCAUACCGCGUGGGUGAAGAAGGCCUUCGGGUUGUAAAGCCCUUUUGUUGGGAAAGAAAAGCAGCAGGUUAAUACCCCGCUGUUCUGACGGUACCCAAAGAAUAAGCACCGGCUAACUUCGUG
rnacentral:rRNA from 1 species